rnacentral:rRNA from 1 species
UACGUAGGUGGCAAGCGUUGUCCGGAAUUAUUGGGCGUAAAGCGCGCGCAGGCGGUCCUUUAAGUCUGAUGUGAAAGCCCACGGCUCAACCGUGGAGGGUCAUUGGAAACUGGGGGACUUGAGUACAGAAGAGGAGAGUGGAAUUCCACGUGUAGCGGUGAAAUGCGUAGAUAUGUGGAGGAACACCAGUGGCGAAGGCGGCUCUCUGGACAUGUAUUGACGCUGAGGUGCGAAAGCGUGGGGAGCAAACAGG